UCUGCCCCUAGAGGCUUUGCAUGUGUGACUGCUGUGUCACAUGUGCGUCAAUAGGUGGCAGAGGGGAGAGAGGCGAUGUCUAUGCUCAGUGUUCUGACUUAUGAACAUCUAAAUAAAAGAAGCAAGCGGU